GGGCCGGUGGUGUAAUGGGAACACGGCGCCCUGUCACAGCGCAGACAGGGGUUCGAUCCCCGGCCGGUCCA
rnacentral:tRNA from 1 species